rnacentral:rRNA from 1 species
UACGUAGGGAGCAAGCGUUGUCCGGAAUCAUUGGGCGUAAAGGGUGCGUAGGCGGGUCUUUAAGUCAGGGGUGAAAUCCUGGAGCUCAACUCCAGAACUGCCUUUGAUACUGAAGAUCUUGAGACCGGAAGAGGUAAGUGGAACUGCGAGUGUAGAGGUGAAAUUCGUAGAUAUUCGCAAGAACACCAGUGGCGAAGGCGGCUUACUGGUCCGGUUCUGACGCUGAGGCGCGAAAGCGUGGGGAGCAAACAGG